UACGUAGGGUGCGAGCGUUAAUCGGAAUUCUGGGCGUAAAGCGUGCGCAGGCGGUUAUUUAAGUCAGGUGUGAAAGCCCUGGGCUUAACCUAGGAAUUGCGCUUGAGACUGGAUAGCUUGGAGUGCGGCAGAGGGAGGUGGAAUUCCACGUGUAGCAGUGAAAUGCGUAGAGAUGUGGAGGAACACCGAUGGCGAAGGCAGCCUCCUGGGCCAGCACAUGACGCUCGAUGACACGAAAGCGUGGGGAGCAAACAGG
rnacentral:rRNA from 1 species